rnacentral:lncRNA from 1 species
AGGGUAAAUCAUUAUGGUGAGCACAGAAUUAUUCUGGGGUGCAAUAUGACACUUACUCUGAACCUGAGGGAAAAGGUCAUUUAAUCUGUUUUAGCUCCAGAUGCCUCUUCUAUAACUGCUAUCUCUAAAAUGGAGAUAACAAUACUUUCUACCUCACAGAAAUAUUGUAAAGAUUAAAUGAGAUAAUGAAUUUGAACCAUUUAGCCCAGUUCCUGGAAACAAAUGUUAGCUCCUAACAAUAAUAAAAAUAACAAUACAAUGCCUUGCCACCUAUGAAAACUGCUAAGUGGUUCUGGAAAUUUACCAACCUGCUUUCAAGAGGGGCUCUGACUCCGCUCAUGGUACACUUGUUUGAAAUUUUUCAAAAAGAAUUUAUCUGUAUGCUUAAAUGCUACAAGCAUCACACUUGGGUACUCUGGCCAGCAUCCUUAAUUUUAGGCUGGUUCUAGGUGAACGAAGCCCAUGGCCUUGGUUAACUAUCACAGCAGAAAAAUGGUAAGAAGGAAACUCGAUUGGAAGGAAUCUGUCCAGAUGUUUAUUUCCCUUCAUUUAGGUCCAUAUAACAUAUAGAUCAAAUGCUCAGAGCUAUUAGGAGCAGAGAAAAAUGCCAGAAUCGAUGCUGCAACACAUUUUGCGUUCACCCUGAAUUAAUGCCUCUAUAUAAAUGUUGUUGCUGAUUUAACUUCUUGUUAACGGCCUUAAAUGUUUGACCCGUAUCUUUGCCUGCUUGAAUACAGGAAAAUCUACAUCAUGGAUUUCCCUGUAGAGUCAUGAGACAGGAAUGUGCAAAGCCAAAAGAGACAGCUGGGAAGUGUAGCAGAAGUGAGUGACCCUGCCCUUCUUGGGAGGUCAUCCUUGGAGAAAAAGCUGACACCCUCACAUCACAAAAUGUAACUACCACCCAAGUGAGAUCUGUUACUCCUCACCAAAAAUUAAGGUGGAGUUUCUUUCUAAAGGAUAGAGAAAUUUUGGAGACUUGAUUUCUUUUUCUUUCUUCUGCCUUUGGGACAACUUCAAUGUAAUUACUGAAAGCAUGAAAAAAUCAACUUUGGGUUUUCAGACAUGUAUCUUAUUGUGACUGCCCAUUGUUUCCAAAUUUGAUUCACUGGAGAUGUUAGUGGGUGAUUCAUAAAAAAGAGAGAGACAUGGCAUGUUAGCCACGUUGGAUAUACACAAUACAUAUUUAUAUAUGAAAAGGUCUAAAAGUCCCACAGUAAAGCAAAAUUUUAAAAUUUGUACACAACCCUAUAUUUACUUAAUAUAUUUAAGUAAGAAACACCUUUUUUUUUCAGGUAACACCCUUGACGUCACGAUUUGUUUGGAUGCAAUUCUAUUUCAUGUUGAACCAUUAACAUGGAAUGGAAUAAAAUAGAAUGGCUAUAAUUUACUGAGUGCUUAAGGACAGUCUUUAUUAAAAGCAAUUGGAUUAAUAAUCUCUGAAUUGUCAUGAAUCUGCAAGUGUCCAGGAUUUCACAUGAAGAAGAUGAGAGAAGACAACUCAGAGCGUGGAGUGACUUCCCUUCAUUUUAAACAAGGUGUUCCAGGCUACGCUAUGGAAGUCAACUUUGUGGGAUUGAAACGUUAAGCUGGAAUCCUUUCGACUUUUAUGAAUGCAAGAGCUUGUCAGGUAAGCAAAAGAAAAACAGGUGAAGAAACAGGAUGCCGUUGUAAGCAGUGAGCCGGGCUUUGGCGGUAAGAGACAUAGCCAUUAUGUGAGCACAGUGCAGACAAGGAAACAGAAGAGUUGUGAUUAUAGACUAGAGUUAAUCCAAACAAGAACUGUGUUAGAAUUUUGAAGGUUUUACCUUUUGAACACCAGACUUACUACUUUAAAUACAUAGAUAUAUUUUUAAUGAGCAUAUAAUCAAGAUUUCCCACUACUCAUGUUUACUGAGCAUUUGUCAGAUGUGAGGCAUUUUACUUUGUACUAUGGGGUUCUCAGAGGACUUGGUCCUUCUUUUCAACCAUCUUACAUUAAAAUGAAGAUGUAUUAGAAAACAAAUGCAUUCAUGACAUAAAAAUCCACUGAGCUAAUUAACAGUCAAGGCAAGGACGAAACAGAAAGAUGUGGUUGGGUUGAACUGGCUAAUUCUAGUACAGAUCUUGCUAUAACACAUGAAAAACUGAAGUAUAGGGAAGUAGAGCUACUGCUUCAAGCAGAGCAAUGAGGUUUUGAUAAUAAUUUCAAUUAUUUAAAAUUAAAUGAAUCAAAUAUAUGUAUUUUAAAGUUCAAUACAAUCCAAAGGUUUAGAAUUAAGGGUAUAAAAAAUAAAAGUAGAUCAAGAGCAAAAUAAUAAUUACAUCUUACCUAUAUGCUUAACAAACUUGACACAUGGCAUAAUUCAAAUGUAGACUUCAUAUAAUGUAUUCUGAUUUUAUAGCAAUAUUUCUCUUUAACAUGUACCAGAUUUUUCUUUAUGUGUCUGUUUGUAGUAAGUCUGUUUCUCAAAGUCACUUCCCAUUUUAAAAUUGAUUUAAUCAAUGAUAUAAUUUUUAAAUGGUGAGUAAAUUAUCUGCUAACAACACUAAAGAAUUUUAUAGUAGAUUUUAUAAUUUCUUGUAGAAUCUAGUAUUUUUCAUUAUAAUUGAACUUAAGUAAUUUAUUGUGUAAUUACUUGUUUAAUGCCUGUCUUAAUCCUACUAGAAUAUAGGUUCCAUGAAGGUCCAAGUCUUGUCUUAACACUUAGAAAAGGGGUCUCCAAACCCGUGGCCAAAGGCCAGUACUGGUCUGUGGCCCGUUAGAAACUGGGGCCACACAGCAGGAGGUGAGCAGCAGGUGAGCAAGCAAAG